rnacentral:rRNA from 1 species
AUAUGUAAAAAUUAUAUACUUGAAUAAUUUUGAACGAAAGGGAAUACGGUUCCAAUUCCGUAACCUGUUGAGUAUCCGUUUGUUAUUAAAUAUGGGCCUCGUGCUCAUCCUGGCAACAGGAACGACCAUAAAGAAGCCGUCGAGAGAUAUCGGAAGAGUUUUCUUUUCUGUUUUAUAGUCGUACUACCAUGGAAGUCUUUCGCAGAGAGAUAUGGUAGAUGGGCUAGAAGAGCAUGACAUAUACUGUUGUGUCGAUAUUUUCUCCUCGGACCUUGAAAAUUUAUGGUGGGGAUACGCAAACUUCUCAACAGGCCGUACCAAUAUCCGCAGCUGGUCUCCAAGGUGAAGAGUCUCUAGUCGAUAGAAUAAUGUAGGUAAGGGAAGUCGGCAAAUUAGAUCCGUAACUUCGGGAUAAGGAUUGGCUCUGAAGAUUGAGAUAGUCGGGCUUGAUUGGGAAACAAUAAUAUGGUUUAUGUGCUCGUUCUGGGUAAAUAGAGUUUCGAUCAUUUAUGGUUGUAACUUGUUCCCCGGAUAGUUAGUUACGUAUCCAAUUGUGGAACUUUCUUGCUAAAAUUUUUAAGAAUACUAGUUGGGUCAAACCAAUUAGUUCUUAUUAAUUAUAACGAUUAUCAAUUAACAAUCAAUUCAGAACUGGCACGGACUUGGGGAAUCCGACUGUCUAAUUAAAACAAAGCAUUGUGAUGGCCCUAGCGGGUGUUGACACAAUGUGAUUUCUGCCCAGUGCUCUGAAUGUCAAAGUGAAGAAAUUCAAGUAAGCGCGGGUCAACGGCGGGAGUAACUAUGACUCUCUUAAGGUAGCCAAAUGCCUCGUCAUCUAAUUAGUGACGCGCAUGAAUGGAUUAACGAGAUUCCUACUGUCCCUAUCUACUAUCUAGCGAAACCACAGCCAAGGGAACGGGCUUGGAAUAAUUAGCGGGGAAAGAAGACCCUUUUGAGCUUGACUCUAAUCUGGCAGUGUAAGGAGACAUAAGAGGUGUAGAAUAAGUGGGAGAUAUUAGACUUCGGUUUGGUAUCGCCAAUGAAAUACCACUACUCUUAUUGUUUCCUUACUUACUUGAUUAAAUGGAACGUGUAUCAUUUCCUAGCCAUUAUACGGAUAUAUUUAUUAUAUCUUAUGGUAUUGGGUUUUGAUGCAAGCUUCUUGAUCAAAGUAUCACGAGUUUGUUAUAUAAUCGCAAACAAAUUCUUUAAUGAGAGAUGCAUUUACUGUAUUAUUGAUUUGAAAAUUUGGUAUAACUCCAAUUACUCAGGUAUGAUCCAAUUCAAGGACAUUGCCAGGUAGGGAGUUUGACUGGGGCGGUACAUCUCUCAAAUAAUAACGGAGGUGUCCCAAGGCCAGCUCAGUGCGGACAGAAACCACACAUAGAGCAAAAGGGCAAAUGCUGACUUGAUCUCGGUGUUCAGUACACACAGGGACAGCAAAAGCUCGGCCUAUCGAUCCUUUUGGUUUAAAGAGUUUUUAACAAGAGGUGUCAGAAAAGUUACCAUAGGGAUAACUGGCUUGUGGCGGCCAAGCGUUCAUAGCGACGUCGCUUUUUGAUCCUUCGAUGUCGGCUCUUCCUAUCAUUGUGAAGCAAAAUUCACCAAGCGUUGGAUUGUUCACCCAUGCAAGGGAACGUGAGCUGGGUUUAGACCGUCGUGAGACAGGUUAGUUUUACCCUACUAAUGACAAAACGUUGUUGCGACAGCAUUCCUGCGUAGUACGAGAGGAACCGCAGGUACGGACCAAUGGCACAAUACUUGUUCGAGCGAACAGUGGUAUGACGCUACGUCCGUUGGAUUAUGCCUGAACGCCUCUAAGGUCGUAUCCGUGCUGGACUGCAAUGAUAAAUAAGGGGCAAUUUGCAUUGUAUGGCUUCUAAACCAUUUAAAGUUUAUUAUUUAUAUUUUAAACGACAAUGGAUGUGAUGCCAAUGUAAUUUGU